AACGAACGCUGGCGGCAGGCCUAACACAUGCAAGUCGAGCGAGGACUUCGGUCCUAGCGGCGGACGGGUGAGUAACGCGUGGGAACGUGCCCUUUGCUUCGGAAUAGCCCUGGGAAACUGGGAGUAAUACCGGAUGAGCCCUUUGGGGGAAAGAUUUAUCGGCGAAGGAUCGGCCCGCGUUGGAUUAGGUAGUUGGUGGGGUAAUGGCCUACCAAGCCGACGAUCCAUAGCUGGUUUGAGAGGAUGAUCAGCCACACUGGGACUGAGAAACGGCCCAGACUCCUACGGGAGGCAGCAGUGGGGAAUCUUAGACAAUGGGGGAAACCCUGAUCUAGCCAUGCCGCGUGAGCGAUGAAGGCCUUAGGGUUGUAAAGCUCUUUCAGCUGGGAAGAUAAUGACGGUACCAGCAGAAGAAGCCCCGGCUAACUCCGUG
rnacentral:rRNA from 1 species